UUUGUUGCAUUUGCAAUGGAGCUACUGCGACAAAAGACAAUUAAUCACCCAUUCUGCUAUUGCAAUUUGGAUCUUACACCACAAACCCACUCUGUAUGCUGCUACUAUAAAACUUUUCCUGAGAUAGAAACUUUAUGUAACUGUAUCACCCAAAGUGGGAAGAACUGGUAUUUUAGUCUAAUUUAAGAGAAUAAUUCUAUAUUUAGAUUCAUCUCCAGGCAUAAAAAUGAUGCAGUUGUUGCUUGCCAGUGUUGGCAGCUCCAAUAAAUUUCCAUGUCCAACUUAUUUGUUUGAACCCAGUAAACAAAUAUAGGAUUGAUGGCUAAAAGAAAAGAAAAUUUAAGAUGGAAAAAGAACACAGGAUAAGGUUGUGUUUGUUGAACCUGACUGGAUGAAUCUGACUUUUUCCUGAAAAAGGUUGCAACAUAAUGUCUUCUGAUUCAUUUAUUGUGACAUAACAUGACUGGUUUAAACUGACUCAACCAUAGAGUACUGUGGCAAAGUCUGAAAAUGAGAAAUGGAUGCAGUGGUUUAAUAAAACAUACAUAACUCAUACAAACACAGAUUGAAAUACAGUCUCUCUCUCUCUCUAUAUAUAUAUAUAUAAAAAAAAAAAAAACACCCAGCACGCCCCUGCGGGCGGUUUAUCCUUCAAGCUCGGGUCCUCUACCAGAGGCCUGGGAGCUUGAGGGUCCUGCGCAGUAUCUUAGCUGUUCCCAGGACUGCGCUCUUCUGGACAGAGAUCUCCGAUGUUAUUCCCGGGAUCUGCUGGAGCCACUCGCCUAGCUUGGGAGUCACCGCACCUAGUGCUCCGAUUACCACGGGGACCACCGUUACCUUCACCCUCCACAUCCUCUCGAGCUCUUCUCUGAGCCCUUGGUAUUUCUCCAGCUUCUCGUGUUCCUUCUUCCUGAUAUUGCUGUCAUUCGGAACCGCUACAUCGAUCACUACGGCCGUCUUCUUCUGUUUGUCUACCACCACUAUGUCCGGUUGGUUAGCCACCACCAUUUUGUCCGUCUGUAUCUGGAAGUCCCACAGGAUCUUAGCUCGGUCAUUCUCCACCACCCUUGGGGGCAUCUCCCAUUUUGACCUCGGGACUUCUAGGUUAUACUCGGCACAGAUGUUCCUGUACACUUGGUUAUGGCGUUCCAUGUAUGCCUUGCCUGCUAGCAUCUUGCACCCUGCUGUUAUGUGCUGGAUUGUCUCUGGGGCAUCUUUACACAGCCUGCACCUGGG
ensembl:lncRNA